UUUUGGGGUUUGUAUCAGUGGGAUCGGGGAACAAACCCUAGCUCCUCCUCCUCUUCCCCCUGCAUAUUCAUAUCCUGAUUCUUUGGAGUUUCUUGAUAUCGCGGAUAAUUACGACGCUUGCCACUGCGGUAGUCCGGUGGAUUAAACUCUCAUUGCAAGGUGGUAUUUUAUAUCUUUUUAUUCAAGGACUAUUAUUAUUUUUUAUUUAUUAUAUCAUUUUUUUCCUUUUUUAUUUUACUAGAAUAGAUUAUAUUUUGGUUCUCAAUCUAUAAAACGUGUGAUAUUUGGUUCUACUAUUUUGAAUUCUUCGGUUAACUUCAUCAUAAUAGCCGGUUAACUUCAUCAUAAUAGCAAGGCACUUCUACUUAUUCAUCAACCAAGUGAACCAUGUGUAGAAUAAUGAGUGGUUCAAUCACUGUUAGCAACCAGAUUGUUGGUUCAUUCCAUUGGUUCUGAUCUACACUUACAAAAUUAAAGUACCGUUUAUUGAUUCCAGGUUAUGAGUAUUUUAGAGUUUCUUGAUUCUUUGGAGCAUCGGAAUCAUGAUUUUGCGAAUGACGCUUCAAGCUAUAUGAAGCACAGAUUGUUUAGGUAUUUGGCCUGGUAUCUAAGUACUUACAGUGGUCUUUUUGAUAUGAUUUUGCAUAUGUUAUUUUACUAGUUUAUAACUAUAUAAAGAAGCAUCUACUCUAAUUGUUCUCAUCUUACAUCUCUAUGAAUCUCUCAUAUCAUGCUCUUUGUUGUGGAUUGAUCAACCUCUUUCUUCGAUUAAUUAGUGAGUUUGGCAUGGAAUUUUGGUAACUAAUAGUUUAAUGUAGUUGGAACAUGCUUUUGCUUGGAGUUUUUGAUGCUUGUGGUUUUUUGGUUGUAUGAGUGAGUCUAAAGACUACUUUAGGUGAUGUUUUUUGCAAGCGAAUGUGAAUGUUGAGAAUUGGUUGAUUUGAUUCUCUUAAUGUUAUAUCUCACGAGUCUCUUGGUCACUACUUUUGCUGAGUAAAGUAUUGCUGGUGUGUUAAGUUCUGGACUUUGUGCUUCCAAAACAAUAAAUUUAUCACUAGAUGAAUCACCCUAUGUUAUGACUUGAGAAGUCAAGUGUCAGAUCCUUGUCUAGUCAUCAAUGUAGCAUCUUGCGGAUUCCAUACACCACAGCCGCUAGUAUAUUGUACUUAAUGUGGCUUCCUAAAUGAAUAGUGGCAGUGACUAGUGCUUAUUAUGACUUGAGAUGUCAAGUGUGAUAUCCUUGUAUAGUCAUCAAUGUAGCAUUUUGAGGAUUUCAUACAUCGUAGCUGGUGACAUAGUUUCUUCACAUAGAAAGCUUUCUAUAUGAAUAGUUGCAAAUUUUAUUAGCGUAACUGGUUUAGCUGUUACAUCAAAGGUAAAUUACAUCUUUAUUGAUAUGCCGCUUGCCUGGAAGGUACUUCACACAGAUAAAUUGUUCUCCUCUUUCUUUCCUCUUAGUUUAAAUAUCUCUCUUAUGUGUAGGAUAUUUGUGGACCUUCCUAACGCUGGGAACCGAACGAAAAUCCUAAAGAUUAUUUGUAAUAUGUCGAAACCCGACUACAUUGCUAAUCUUGAUCAAAAUGACCAAGAUGAUGCAAAAAUGGAAAUUAAAUGCUUCUAAAUUAAAUUGGUAGCUUGGGCAUAGAGUUUAGCAUGUUUUGGAAGUGUUUGGAUGAAUUCGGAGUGAGCUGGAUGUGAGAAACGAGCUGCCAAAGCUGCUGCUGCCAGCAGGGGCUGAAUUGCGAACCUCCAGGGACUGAAAUGUAAACUGCAGGAUUGUAAUGCACUUUUGCUGAAUUGAAGGGUUAAAGAGCAAUUGUUUGUUCUUACCACUUAACCCCAGCCCCCUGAAAAAUGUCCACGUAUCCAGCACCCCUCUCCAAUGCUUCUUUUCAUUUUUUUUCUCCUUUCUUUCUCUCUCAGCCCUUGGAGCAGAGAAGUGAAGAAAAGCUUGUGAAGUUGAGUUUUCUUGCUGUUGGAGCUAAGAAGAAACUCUGUGGGACUGAAAAGAAGGCUUUUGGAGCUGAGAAAUCCCUUAGGGAAGCUUUAAAUCCAG
rnacentral:lncRNA from 1 species